rnacentral:rRNA from 1 species
ACACCGGCAGCCCAAGUGGUGGCCAUUUUUAUUGGGCCUAAAGCGUUCGUAGCCGGCCUGAUAAGUCUCUGGUGAAAUCCCGCAGCUUAACUGUGGGAAUUGCUGGAGAUACUAUCAGGCUUGAGGUCGGGAGAGGUUAGAGGUACUCCCAGGGUAGGGGUGAAAUCCUAUAAUCCUGGGAGGACCACCUGUGGCGAAGGCGUCUAACUGGAACGAACCGAACGGUGAGGGACGAAAGCCAGGGGCGCGAACCGGAUUAGAUACCCGGGUAGUCCUGGCCGUAAACGAUGUGGACUUGGUGUUGGGAUGGCUUCGAGCUGCCCCAGUGCCGAAGGGAAGCUGUUAAGUCCACCGCCUGGGAAGUACGGCCGCAAGGCUGAAACUUAAAGGAAUUGGCGGGG